AGGGUAUUCCUGCACAACUGGAGUGGCUGCACUCUCAGGACCGCAUUUUUAGGACCGCAUCUUUAGGACCCUAGUUUUUUGUGACAGCGUCACCUGUCGGAUUGGAUCAUGGAUGCGCUAAUGGACGACACGGAUGACAAGGAAAGUGCCAUCGUACAUCCUCUGGGUGUCUUGAGGAGCUGGUCUUUGGAUAAUGCUGAGCAGGUCUUUCUUUCUGGUAAAGAUUAUUAUUACAGUGAAGUAAAAGAAUUUAACAGACAGAUUUACAAACAACUGACGAAAGAAGGGAGACCAUUCAAUAGUCCCUUUAUUUAUCAGGGGUUGCCACAGCAGAAGGAACUGCCAACUUAUCCAGCAUAUGUUUUACACAGCGGAUGCCCUUCCAGCUGCAACCCAGUACUGGGAAACACCCAUUUACACUCAUACACUUGAACAUGGGGAGAACAUGCAAACUCCACACAGAAAUGACCACUGGCCCAGCCGGGGCUUGAACCAGCAACCUUCUUGCUGUGAAGCGACGGUGCUAACCACUGUGCUGCCCUAUGUGCUCUAUGCGGGUGAGUGGGAUUGACAAACCACUUGGAGGGAACACUCUUGCUGUCUUAACCAGACAUUUUGUUAUAAAUAAUCAUGUGCGUUUCAUGUUUAUUCAUAUAACUGCUAUUUUAUCUCUUAGCACUUCAUUUUUGUCUUGAUAUUUAAUAUCUCUUGUUUAAAUACACUAUGAACAGCAGCUGCGCUAAUUAUUUUCCUUGUUCCCUAUUUCCACCUGGGGAUAUUCAUCCAGAGGCCUCUAGAGAUCGUAACCUGUGAAGAGAUGAUGCCACCAUAGAGGACUUCUAAAUGUAUCCAUAAUCCUGAAACAGACCGUAUCAUGAGCAGAUGCUGUGGUGGUCAUGGAGAAGUGGAGAGCAUGAGACUGAUUAAUGAAAGACCCCAGUGACAGAUGAGUGCCCACAUUGACCCUGUGGUCCAGCCUGAAAACCAGCUGGUGACCUACUCACACCUGCAGCUUCUCUAUGAUGGACGCCCAGUGUUUGCCUCCAGCGCCUAGACUGCAGCUCUGCAUGUGAAGUGUGGCCAGAAGAGAAAUGGUUGUUCCCAACUGAGCCUAGUUUCUCUCAAGGAGCUAAAGUCUACAGCCAGUCUGAAUGCAGCAACUGAAUAAACAGUGGGGUCAAUUUUGUGGUUGAAUUGCAUUAAUAAAAAAAAAGUGUGGAUAUUUA